rnacentral:other from 1 species
UGCCCUCUGUGGUGUUUGCCAGUGGGCCUGAUAUACGCCUUGUCCCUAAUUUAUAACUUCGGGACGGCCCGUCUGAAUGCUGUUGUGCAUGUUCGUCCUAGAGCGAAAAGCCUGAAGCCCAGGAAGCUGUCCCACUUGAACCUUUUGGUUCAAGGUAAUCAGGUCUACAGCGGCAUCCACGGAGGGUUU